CAAUGGCCUCUCUCUCUGGGCGGGGCCGCUCGAAAGGCAGGCUGCUGUUGGAUUGUGAGCCGGAACUAAGAAACAGCGUGGGCCAAUCAGAAGCGCCAUGAGGGGUUGGGCCUGCCGCCCUGCAGCGUGUCACGUGGACCUAGAACCAAUUACAGAAUCACUCCCAGGAGGAGUAGGCUCACACCUUAGAGCAGACACCCGGGGCCGCACCGCGUCUCCUUGGUUCACCGAAGAGCGCUCAGACUCACGUUGAUGGGGUCCCGCCUGAGGUUCGUCUUCUGCAUUUCUGCUUCUGCCCCAGACUGGAGUGGCAGCCAGCAUGACCUGACCCACAGGGAUCUGUGGCAGUGCCUGUUGGACCAUGGUGUUCUUUGGGGUGAAAUAGGUAGGCAGCUGACUAGAGCUGUUUGAUUUGAGUAACCAGAAAGACAUCAAGAGUUGUUGAUCAGAAGGCGAAUGUCAGUUGCUGCAGUGGAAAAUCACGAUCCCUCACUCUAUUUAAAUCUAGUUUUGACACCUAGAGCUCACUGGUCGAAAAGGACCUUGGUCCCUUCCAGGAAGGAUUCUACAAUGCCACGAUAAGUAUAUACAAAACAUACUCCUCCAGUCCUUCCCCAAAGGGAUCUAGAGCCACUUAACAAAGCAACUAAUUGACUUUGCAAAAGCGACUCUCCAGAUCUUUCAAGGACUGUUAGAUACAGGAUCUGAGCUGACACUUAUGCCAGGGUACCUGAAGCAUCGUGAGCCACUGGUUAGAAUAGGGGCUAUGGAAGUCAGGUGAUAAAUGGAAUCCUGACCCAUGUCCUGUGGUUACUUCUCUGGUCCCAGUGCACACUUGGGAUGAUUACAUGUAGCAGUAGGAAGAGCCUGUACAUUGAUCUCUUAUCUGUGGAAUAAGAAAGAUUAUGGUAGGAAGAGCAAAGUGGAAGCCCCUGAAACUCCCCAUCCCUCUGCCACCCCCUCCAGGAUACUAAAUCAGAAACAAUGCUGCAUUUCAGGUGGGAUUGCAGAGGUUGUGUCACUCUUGAAGACAAAAAAGUGGUUGUCCCCUUUACAUCCCCUUCAAUUCACCUGAAUGGUCUCUGCAAAAUCCAGAUGGAUUCAAGUAAAUAAUGGUGGUGUACCACAGACUUAGCCAAGUAGUAUCUCCAAUCACAGCAGCUGUGUCAGAUGAGGUAUCUUUACUGGAACCAAUUAAUGCAUCUCUGGCACUUAAUAAUGCAAUUAUUGAUGUGGUUAACAUUCUUUUCAAUUUCCAGUAAUAAAGAGUAAAUUUCCAACAGCAGUUCACGUUUAUAUGGGAAGGACAGCCAAACAUAUUCGUUGUCUUGCUUCAACGCUGUUUUGACACUCCUGCUCUCUGUCACAACAUAAUCCAUUGAGACCUUGAUCAUCUGGAUGUUCCACAUAACAUUGAUGACAUCAUGCUAGUUGGACACCAUGAAGAAGAAAGUGACAAGUGCUCUGUCCUUGGUAAGACAAUUCAUGUCAGGGGGUGAGAGAGAAACCCUCAGAAGUUCUGGAGCCUGUCAUCAGUGAAGUUUUCAGGGGUGCAGCAUUGUAGGGCAGAUCAGGGCAUCACCUCUUAGAUAAGGACAAGUUUUGCAUUUGGUAUCCCUAUCACAAAGAAGGAGGCAUAGCGCUUGACGCAUGUUGGGAUUUUGGAGUUAGUGUGUACCACACUUGGGAAUACUGUUCUGACCUAUUUAUUGGGUAACUUGGAAGACUGCUAGUUUUGAGUGGGGCCCAGAGUAAAGGAGGGCUCUGUUGAAGAUCCAUAUUGGAGGGUGAGUUCCCUUGCCACUUAGCAAAACCAAUGGGUUAGGGUUGGGCUUAUUUGUGGUAGGUAGGGACCCUGCAUGGCACCUUUGGCAGGCUGUAACAGGAGAUUUGCAGCGCACACUCCUAGGAUUCUGAAGCAAGACGAUGCCUACUGCAGUGGAGAACUACUCAGCAAUUGAAAGCAGCUCCUGGUACACUGCUGGACCCAAGUAGAGACUGAGUGCCUGAUUAUGGGGCAUCAAAUGACUAUGUGACCUGAGCCAGAUACUGACAGACCCACCAAACCAAUAGGUUAGGCAGGCUCAGUAGCAACUCAUGGCACAAUGAAAAAGGAUAGGACCCAAGCUUGUAUAGAGGGCACAAGUCGUUUAUAGGAAGAGGUGGCUGUGGCCUCCACAUCUCCUACCUUGUUGCACCGAUGCCUCUUUUUUAGCAGACAGGAAGAAAAAUUCAGGUCUGGUUCAGAGAUGGAUCAGCUUGAUGUGUUGGUAUGAGCUGAAGAUGAACCAUUGCUGCAUUGCAGUCCCUCUCAGGGUGGCUCUAAAUGACAGUAAUGAGAAAUCCUCCAGAGGGCGGAGCUUCAAGCAGUAUGCUUGGAUAUCCACUUUGGAGGGAGGGAGUGGAGUGGACACUGUAGUGGCGUAAGGAAGAGAUGCACAUGAACAUCUGGGUUGUGACAGAUGUCUUGCUAGUUGGUCAGGCACCUGGAAAAAGCAGGAGGGGAAUAUUGGAGACAAGGAGGUCUGGGAAAGAAGAUGGAUCUCUGCGAGUGAUCACAAGGCUGUGAAUCUUUGUGCCUCAUGUUAAUACUCACUGCAGAGGGGUCACUGAGCAACAAAGGGGGCUAGAUAAAGCUCAGCCAGCUUCUGUCCUUUUGUGCUUGUGCAUCAGGCCCAUGACUGGAGUGCCAUCGUGGUAGGACUGCAGUUUAUGCCCACCAACACGGGGUCUCUUAUCAGGGCUUAUCUAAUUAUUAUUGCUGCUGAAUUUCUGACCUGUUAGCAGCCAAGAGUAGUGCUGAGCUCCUGAUAUGGUACCAUCCCUGGAUGAGUUGGCGAUGGGGUGGUUACAGCAGAUCCUUUCCACCCAGGAGGGAGCAUUAAUUCAUCUUACUGGAAUUGACACAUGCUCUGGGUACGGGUUUGCCUUUCUGAUCCACGAUGUCUGAGUGGCAUCACUAUUCAGGAGCUUAGAGAAUGCUCGAUUUACCAACGUGAGUUCAUGUAUAACAUCACUUUGGGCCAAGAAACUCAUUUUACAGUGAAAGAGGUACAAUGGUGUAUGGAUUGCCAAGGGAUCCACUGCUUCUCUAAUAUCCUGCCUUGUCUACAAGCAGUCAGUCUAACUGAAAGAUGUAAUGAUCUCUUAAAGACUUAGCUAAGUCCUAGCUCUAGGAUGUAUCUGAGGAGUUGGGGUAUAUAACCUGAAUCAAAGCCCAGUAUAUGGUGCUGUGCCUCCAGUGGACAGAAUAUGUGGAUCCAGGAACAAAGACACAGGUCCAAGAAUCCAGGGGUUGAGAUUAGCUCUCUGUCACCAUCAUUCUCUGUGCUCCACUUGUAUUAUUUGCACAUUGUGUCUCUACAGCAUUAAGGUCUGCUGGAUUAAAGCCCCUGGUUUCCAGGUAGGGAACACUUCCAUGAGGGGUCUUCCACUGCUUCCAGGGAAGGACACCUCUGCUGAACCUGAAUCUGCGAAUUCCACCCACUUUGAACUCCUCAUGCUGGUGGACCAGCAGGCAGAGAAGGAGGGGAUAAUUGAUCCUGAUUAUUACGAGGAGAUAGGGUUGCUGCUAAUUAAUGGGGCAAUCAGGAUUUGGUCUGGCACUUGGAGGCUUCACCUGGGUCUGUCUGCUUGCUUCCAUGCCAAGUGACAACAGUGAAAAGGCAUUUUCAGCAACCACAGCCUGCCAAGGGCAAGGCAGCCAAGGGCAAGGCAGCCAAGGGCUCAGACCCCUCAGGGAUGGAGAUCUGGGUAAGGCCAUCAGGCAAGCCAUGUAAGCUAGCUGUGAUGUUGGCUGAGGAUAAGGGAAGUCUAGGACAGGUGGAGGAGAAGGGAGAUAAUAAAUAGCACUUACAGCCUCAAGAGCAGCUGCAGCAGUGGGGACUGUAUUUGUUUUAACCCUCUUAUAUUAAGUCUUUUGUAAAGGUUGUAACCAGCCUUCACCUCAAAGAAUCAUGACAGAACGGACUUAAUAUGGUGCCCAAGUAGAUCUGAGGGGUGCAAGUGCUGGUGUCUUGACUGAUGCCCUCAUCACACCUUUAAUUGCAGUGGACUUACAGAGCUGCCUCUCUGGCACCUGCUGUGUGUCUCUGCACCAUCUGCCCCAGGGCUUCUCUGAUGCCACAGGAGCCCACUUGGCCUGCUUACCAACACAGCUUAGGUCUCUGGGGGCAACCUCAGGGACUGGAGACAGGAGUCAGUGGAUGAAUAGUUGGACAACCCUAGGAGGCAUCCUGUAUACUUCUCAGGAGGUCCUGGUGAAGUCAAAGUGCUGUUACCCAGAGCAGUAACCUCAGGAACACACUGCUAUGUUUUGAUACCUCCUUUCCUGUCUCACUGUCCCCCUCUGUCACUUCUGUUUCAUGGGAUCAUAUCCUGAACAAACCACUUAUACCCAAGUCUUUGUCUUAGGCUCUGCUUUCAGAAGAACCCAAAAAAGACACACUAAAAGAAAGGUUAUUUCCAGUUUAUAUCGGCAAAAAAAUCUGGGGGAAUGUGUGUGGGAAUGGAUUAUGAGGCGAGAAAGCCAAGAAUUAACUGUACUUCAAAUUUAUCGACUAGGGUGUGCUCCAAAGGGAUUCUGGACUCAGUGUUUUGGUUAAAGUGCUGGAAAUAGUUGUAACUGUGCUUUCUUGGCUGAAUGAAGCCUGGACUCAUUGGCAUCUUACUUGAUGAGAAGAUAAGAAUGUACUGGAAUAGACUUGUCAUGUAUAUGACCUGGCCCCAGUCUCUAUAUUUUUCUUCGUUAGUCCGUUAUGUUGAUUUAAAAAAUAUAUUUGAUAGAUUAUGUCUUGAAUUUCUUUUCCAGGAGGUGAAGGGUUGUAAAGUAUUUGAUAUGUGUUGGGUCUGUUGGGGUUGUAAACCCUGAUUGGUCUCAUUUAUGCCCACGACUUCAAUUAGUAUCCAUAUGCUUGUGAUUGGAUAACAACUUGACUAGGUAGAAUAUUCUUGGGUCACUGUCAGUUGCCUAUUGCCACUGUAACAAAUUACCACAACCUUGGUAACUUAAAACAACAAAUUUAUUCUCUCUCAGUCCUGGAGACCAGAAGUUCAAAAUCAGUAUCACUGGGCCAAAAUCAAGGUGUGGGCUGCAUUCUCUCUGGAGACUCGAAGGGAGAAUCCAUUCCUGGCCUCCUCCAGAUUCUGAUGGCUGCACCCAUUCCUUGGUGUGUGGCUGCAUCACUCCAGUCUCUGCCUCCAUGGUCAAUAUUGCUUCCUCUUCUGUCUGUGUAAUCUCCUUCUGCCUCUCUUGUAAGCACACUUGUGAUCACAUUUUGGGCCAACCUGGAUAAUC